rnacentral:rRNA from 1 species
UGGGGAAUAUUGGACAAUGGGCGAAAGCCUGAUCCAGCAAUGCCGCGUGUGUGAAGAAGGUCUUCGGAUUGUAAAGCACUUUCGACGGGGACGAUGAUGACGGUACCCGUAGAAGAAGCCCCGGNUAACUUCGCGCCAG